rnacentral:rRNA from 1 species
AUUGAACGCUUGCGGCAGGCCUAACACAUGCAAGUCGAACGGUAACAGGAAGCAGCUCGCUGCUUUGCUGACGAGUGGCGGACGGGUGAGUAAUGUCUGGGAAACUACCUGAUGGAGGGGGAUAACUACUGGAAACGGUAGCUAAUACCGCAUAACGUCGCAAGACCAAAGAGGGGGACCUUCGGGCCUCUUGCCAUCGGAUGUGCCCAGAUGGGAUUAGCUAGUAGGUGGGGUAACGGCUCACCUAGGCGACGAUCCCUAGCUGGUCUGAGAGGAUGACCAGCCACACUGGAACUGAGACACGGUCCAGACUCCUACGGGAGGCAGCAGUGGGGAAUAUUGCACAAUGGGCGCAAGCCUGAUGCAGCCAUGCCGCGUGUAUGAAGAAGGCCUUCGGGUUGUAAAGUACUUUCAGCGGGGAGGAAGGCGAUAAGGUUAAUAACCUUGUCGAUUGACGUUACCCGCAGAAGAAGCACCGGCUAACUCCGUGCCAGCAGCCGCGGUAAUACGGAGGGUGCAAGCGUUAAUCGGAAUUACUGGGCGUAAAGCGCACGCAGGCGGUCUGUCAAGUCGGAUGUGAAAUCCCCGGGCUCAACCUGGGAACUGCAUUCGAAACUGGCAGGCUAGAGUCUUGUAGAGGGGGGUAGAAUUCCAGGUGUAGCGGUGAAAUGCGUAGAGAUCUGGAGGAAUACCGGUGGCGAAGGCGGCCCCCUGGACAAAGACUGACGCUCAGGUGCGAAAGCGUGGGGAGCAAACA